rnacentral:rRNA from 1 species
UACGGAGGGGGCUAGCGUUGUUCGGAAUUACUGGGCGUAAAGCGCGCGUAGGCGGACCUGCAAGUCGGGGGUGAAAGCCCGAGGCUCAACCUCGGAACUGCCUUCGAUACUGCGGGUCUCGAGUCCGGGAGAGGUGAGUGGAAUUCCUAGUGUAGAGGUGAAAUUCGUAGAUAUUAGGAAGAACACCAGUGGCGAAGGCGGCUCACUGGCCCGGGUACUGACGCUGAGGCGCGAAAGGCGUGG